GAGACGAGAGACGAGAGACGAGUGGCGUCGCGACUCAUUUAAUUAAGAACUGAGAACGCGACGGACGACGGACACGUUACGGAUCGGCUGCGGAACGACUGGCGUCGCGACUUAUUUAAUUGAAGAUAAUGACGCAGCUAUAGUGUCGCAUCGAGGGAUCGAGAUGAGGACAGUCUGAGAGGAGGAGGAGGCCUGGGAGAGGCAUCGGGCGCCAGCGGAACAACUUUGCGAAUCAACGGUAGCUACGUGGCAGAUAUAAUUCCGC